GGGUCAGUAGGUUGGUCGUGCCACCGGUACGUACUGGUCUCACUGAUUCCUCCUUCCUGAAGAACCGUAAUGCCAUUAAUUUGGUGUUGCGGGGAAACAGGACGGUUACUUUGAAAAAAUUAGAGUGUUUAAAGCAAGCUAACGCUUGAAUACAUUAGCAUGGAAUAAUGAAAUAGGACGAUCGAUCCUAUUUUAUUGGUUUCUAGGAUUGACGUA
rnacentral:rRNA from 1 species